UACAACAGCCUUAGUUUAUUGGAUCUUACAGUCCUACAUGGAUAACUGUGGUAAUUCUAGAGCUAAUACACGCAAUUAAACCCUAACCUUACGGAAAGGGUGCAUUUAUUAGAACAAAACCAAUUGGCUUCGGUCAUAUCUGGUGAAUCUGAAUAACUACGCUGAUCGCACGGUCUCGCACCGGCGACAUAUCCUUCAAGUGUCUGCCUUAUCAACUGUCGAUGGUAGUUUAUAUGACUACCAUGGUUGUAACGGGUAACGGAGAAUAAGGGUUCGACUCCGGAGAGGGAGCCUGAGAAACGGCUACCACAUCCAAGGAAGGCAGCAGGCGCGCAAAUUACCCACUCUCAGUUCGAGGAGGUAGUGACGAAAAAUAACGAGACAGUCCUCUAUGAGGUCUGUCAUCGGAAUGGGUACAAUUUAAACCCUUUAACGAGGAUCUAUUGGAGGGCAAGUCUGGUGCCAGCAGCCGCGGUAAUUCCAGCUCCAAUAGCGUAUACAAAUACUGUUGCGGUUAAAAAGCUCGUAGUUGGAUCUGCGUUCGCAGUGACAGGUUCCCUACUCGGGAUACUUGUUCACUCGAACUACCUUGUUAGACGUCUCUUGGUGCUCUUCAUUGAGUGCCCUGAGUGUCUAGCUCGUUUACUUUGAAAAAAUUAGAGUGCUUAAAGCAGGCUUUUGCCUGAAUAGUUGCGCAUGGAAUAAUGGAAUAGGACCUCGGUUCUAUUUUGUUGGUUUUCGGAGCAUGAGGUAAUGAUUAAGAGGGACAGACGGGGGCAUUCGUACUGCUACGUUAGAGG
rnacentral:rRNA from 1 species